rfam:Phyllobacterium sp. YR531 PMI41_contig_33.33, whole genome shotgun sequence.
GACCAUGAAAACAGUUCUUAUUGUCGUGGGACCGCGUAUGGGCAGGGUGUUGUAAGCACCCGGCGAAAGCUCCCAUGCGCGAAACACAGGCUCCCUCGGGGGCCUUUUUUAUUUUCUACAU